AGUAUUAAGACACUGUACUUAACUGAUAUAUUGCUUGCAGGUUAAAGCAGACACUACUAGAGUCCUUUCCCAACAGAAAUCUUGGGUAAAGGUGGUGGCCUUCUGUGAUUUGCCGGGCACAACGACUGGUCGCCCCCGUCGUUGUGGCUGGCUAGACAUAGUUGCACUGAGAUUUUUCUGUCAGAUUAAUGGAUUUGCUUCUCUGAACCUAACAAAGCUUGACGUGCUGUCAGAUCUUUCAGAAAUUCAGUUGGAUGUUUCCUACAGAGUGCCAGAUGGCACACCAAUUGAAUCAUUUCCUUCUGAUCUUCAUCUACUUGAUCAAAUCAAGAAAAUAUUCAGACUUACCGAAGGCUGCACGUGAGUAUGUAGAAAGGAUAAAAGAACUUGUUGGGGUACCUAUCCAUUACAUUGGUAUUGGGCCUGGUCGUGAUGCCCUCAUCUACAAGUGAUCUCAGGGAAUUGGUCAUAUUGCCAUGAUCUUAUUCUCAUCGUGCUGGUAGAAGUAAUGCCCUUUGCAUGGUUAAACUCUUGGUAACCUCAGGAUUAUCAAUUUAAAAUGACCUCAAUGAUGUAUUUUUCAGCUCCAGAGCUAGAUCUCAUCAUUCCCCCUCCCCUCCCCUCCCCUCCCCUCCCCGCCCCUCCCUGUAUGUGGUGCUCCCAAAGGGAUAUGCGGCUUAAAAUUUGCCACCUGCUUGCCUUGGGAUCAUAUCUCCUCUAAUAAAAAGCUUUGACUGCAUCGCUGUCUUGGCUUCCGCCUCAAUUUGGUGCCAUGACUAUAGUGCUUUGGAUGAUCUUCUGUUUAGUCUUUAGUUUACUCUCCUCUGAAUCCAGCACUGUAACUUAUUCAAGUGAAAUUUACAUUUGGUCUGUA